CCGUGGGGAUCUCACGAUCCCUACUGAGAUAGAACCCUUGUCUUUGCGUACCCACCGUUUCCUCGGCAGGCUCGCCUGCCAACGAGGACAACCAAAACCCUUUUUGUAAUAGCAGUAAACGUCUAAAAACAAAUCGUUA
rnacentral:misc_RNA from 1 species